rnacentral:rRNA from 1 species
AAGCGGUGAGCAUGUGGUUUAAUUCGAUGAUACGCGAGGAACCUUACCUGGGCUCAAAUGUAUGUUGACGUAUUCUGAAAGGGAUACUCUUCGGACAAUAUACAAGGUGCUGCAUGGUUGUCGUCAGCUCGUGUCGUGAGAUGUUGGGUUAAGUCCCGCAACGAGCGCAACCCCUGCAUUCAGUUGCCAUCGGGUGAAGCCGGGCACUCUGGAAGGACUGCCAUCGACAAGAUGGAGGAAGGUGGGGACGACGUCAAGUCAUCAUGGCCCUUAUGUCCAGGGCGACACACGUGCUACAAUGGCCGGCACAACGGGAAGCGAGUUCGCGAGGACGAGCGGAUCCCUUAAAGCCGGUCGCAGUUCGGAUUGAAGUCUGCAACUCGACUUCAUGAAGCUGGAAUCGCUAGUAAUCGCAGAUCAGCCAAGCUGCGGUGAAUACGUUCCCGGGCCUU